AGAGUUUGAUCAUGGCUCAGAACGAACGCUGGCGGCGUGCUUAACACAUGCAAGUCGCGUGCGCAGUUUCCGUAGCAAUACGGGGAUGGGCGCACGGCGCACGGGUGCGUAACACGUGGGCAAUCUGCCCUCCGAUGGGGAAUACCCCCGCGAAAGCGGGACUAAUUCCGCAUAACAUUCCUUGGAUUAAUUUUCGAGGAUUCAAAGCAGCAAUGCGUCGGAGGAGGAGCCCGCGCCCGAUUAGCUAGUUGGUGAGGUAACGGCUCACCAAGGCAAUGAUCGGUAGCUGGUCUGAGAGGAUGGCCAGCCACACUGGAACUGAGACACGGUCCAGACUCCUACGGGAGGCAGCAGUGGGGAAUCUUGCACAAUGGGCGAAAGCCUGAUGCAGCGACGCCGCGUGGGGGAUGAAGCUUUUCGGAGUGUAAACCCCUUUCGACUGGGACGAAUGCCUCGCAAGAGGAGUGACGGUACCAGUAUAAGAAGCCCCGGCUAACUACGUGCCAGCAGCCGCGGUAAGACGUAGGGGGCCAGCGUUGUUCGGAAUUACUGGGUGUAAAGGGUUCGUAGGCGGUGUGGCAAGUCGGGAGUGAAAUCUCUGGGCUCAACCCAGAGACUGCUUCCGAAACUGCUGUGCUUGAGUGUGAGAGAGGCUCGUGGAAUUGCAGGUAGCGGUGAAAUGCGUAGAUAUCUGCAGGAACACCCGUGGCGAAAGCGGCGAGCUGGAUCACUACUGACGCUGAGGAACGAAAGCUAGGGGAGCAAACAGGAUUAGAUACCCUAGUAGUCC
rnacentral:rRNA from 1 species